AUGCUUCCUUUUUUCUUCUGAUCGAAUUGAACAAAGCGAAGAAAAUGCCUUCAACAAAAUUCAUGAAUUAAAGUUCCAUUUGAUUGCGAUCAAUCCGGAGAAGCAAUUCAGAUUGAUUCUUGGCGAAGAUGGCGGAAAAUUCGCCGUCAUCGUCUUCCCCACCGAAACCCUUACCAGUGCAGCAGAGCCCCGCCAUGAUUGAACCUCCUUCUAAUUCGCAGCAAUUACAGCCGCUGCAAUCCCCAUCUCCGUCGCUCGACCACCAACAGCAGCAGCAGCAACUGAUGCAAUCGCAGCAGCAGCAAUUGGUACAAUCGCAGCAGCAAUUGGUACAACAACAGCAGCAGCCGCAGCAGCAGCAAUUGCAGCAGCUACAGCAGCAGAUAAUGCAGCAGCAGGGCAACAACAGCAGCGUCAAUGGCGGUAGUGGCGGUAGCAAUUUGAUAGGAGUUUCGAAUUUUCAGGGUAUGCAAAGGAAUCCUUCGAUAGCUAGGCUUAAUCAGAUGCAGCAAAGUGGUAGUAUUAAUAGUCAGUUAGGAAUGAUGAGACAACAGCACCAACAACAGCAGAAUUCGUCGGCAAUUUACGGUCAGAUGAAUUUUGGUGGAAUGAGCGUGACGCAGCAACAGCAGCAGAGCAGUAGUGUUGGUAUCAAUGGAGGCAAUAGCAGCCAGCAGCAGCAACAGAAGAUGGGGCAACAAAGCCAAUUGCAGCAACAAAUCGGGCAGCCAAGCCAAAUGCAGCAGCAAAUGGGGCAACAGAGCCAAUUGCAACAGCAAAUGGGGCAAAACCAGUUGCAGCAGCAGUUAGGGCAGCAAAAUCAGUUGCAACAGCAGCUGGGGCAGCAAAACCAGUUGCAGCAGCAGCAGCAGCAAAUUGGGCAACAGAAUCAGUUACAGCAGAUCGGCCAGCAAAGUCAACUGCAGCAGCAAGUCGGGCAACAGAGUCAGUUGCAGCAGCAACUAGGAGGACAGGGCUCGAUGCAGCAGCAGCAGCAGCAAAUGGGGCAGGGCCAAUUGCAGCAAUCACAAAUGGGGCAGAUGGCUGGUGGGAAUUUGUCGAGGUCUGCUCUGAUGGGGCAGACUGGGCAUUUGCCAAUGCUAUCUGGUCAAGCAGCCCAGUUUAAUUUGCAAAAUCAGUUUUUGAAUUCGCCACGUCAGAAGGCGGGGUUCAUGCAAGGGUCUCAGUUCCACCAGGGUAAUUCUCCUGGGCAGUCAUUGCCAGGAAUGCAAGCAAUGGGAAUGAUGGGGUCAAUUAAUCUGGCUUCUCAACUAAGACCAAAUAGCACACUUGCUUACGCCCAGCAGAGAAUGACGGCAAGCCAACUAAGGCAGCAUCUUUCUCAGCAAAAUGCACUUACUACUGGCCAGAAAUUGCAGGGGCAGAAUAUUGCAAGGACGUCAUUUAUGAACGCGCAAAUUGCUGGGCUGGCUCAAAAUGGACAACCGGGUAUGAUGCAGAAUGCUAUAUCUCAACAGCAGUGGUUAAAGCAAAUGCCAGCAAUAUCCUCCCCCAACACUUCUUCAUAUCGUCUUCAACAACAGCUGCUCAUGCAACAACAACAGCAGUUGUCUCAAAUAGUACAACAGCAAACGCAGGCCCAGUCACAGAUGCAUCAGCAGAAACAACAGCAACAGCUGCAGUCGCCAAUGCAGCAGCCGCAGCAGCCUCCACAACAGCAGCUUUUCCAUCAGCAGCAGUCACCGAGAAUCGCUGGACCGGGAGGGCAGAAAUUGGUGAGUUUGACUGGAUCACAGCCUGAUGCCACUGGAUCAGGAGCAACUACACCAGGUGGAAGUUCAAGCCAUGGCACAGAAGCUGGUAAUCAACUUCUUGGGAAGAGAAAGAUACAAGAUUUAGUGUCACAGUUGGAUUUCAAUGGGAAACUGGACCCUGAAGUCGAAGAGCUUCUGUUAGAGAUUGCUGAUAACUUUAUUGAUUCGGACUGCAGGAGGUUAUACCAUGUUAGACAGAGGUUAUUUGGAAUUGUCAGCUCUGUAUCUCGCUAUUUCUUUAAGCAGAUGCUGCUACUUGAGGAUGUUACUACAUUUGCAUGCACCUUGGCAAAGCAUCGCAAAUCUUCAACGUUGGAGGCCAAGGAUGUCUUGCUGCAUUUAGAGAAAAACUGGAAACUGACCAUUCCUGGGUAUUCGAGCGAGGAGAAAAAACAAAGUACUGAAAAUCCCCCUACUGAUGCCCACAAAAAGCGUAUGGAUGUGAUUCGUACCUUGACUGAACCCGUACAAUCUGAGACAAAUAGUGGAGCUAAGCAGAUGGUCAGGCAGGGAUCAGGAAAUCAAGUUGGUCAAAACCAUAUGAUAAGACCUUCUCCAAGCUCUGAGCAGUUAGUUUCGCAGUCUGCUGUGCCCCAAAUGCUGCAGCAGAAUACUAGAUUCUGAAGCGGUUCAUACAAGGAAAAAUGGGAAAGUUCUUUUUCGUCUUUGAUUUUUUUGAUCAUCCCUUGUCAAUGUUACGUUUUUCUGCAGUGCUCUCUCGCUUCACCACCAGCACUUUUGCAAUCUCAUGGCUCGCGGUGGGCUUGCCUUGUGCUUGGUAGCAUAACCAAAUCAACAAAUAGCUUCUUGGAAGAUAUAUCUAUCUAUCUAUCUAUAUAUAGUAAUUUAAGUGUUUACCAUCUUUUUUCGAAGUUAAAUAAAAUGGUGAAUUUUGCCAUGAUUCAAGUUUGCUUUGGACACUCGUGAAUUUGCAGGAUUCUGUUAUGUACAUAUCUUUCCAUAGUAAUAUAGUAUGAUUGAUUUCAGUUA